ensembl:snRNA U1 U1 spliceosomal RNA
AUACUUACCUGGCAGAGGAUACCCAAUGAUCAAGAAGGUGGUUCACCCAGGUGUGAGGCUUCGUCCAUUGCACUUCCGGUAUGUGCUGACCCCUGCCGAAUUUUUUCCCCAAAUGCUGGAAUUCUCGACUGCCAUAAUUUCUGGUAGUGGGGGACUUCGUUCGCGCUCUCCCCUG